rnacentral:tRNA from 1 species
GCUCCCUUCGUCUAGUGGCCCAGGACAUCGCCCUCUCACGGCGGUAACGCGAGUUCGAGUCUCGCAGGGAGCGCCA